rnacentral:rRNA from 1 species
AGAGCGAACGCUGGCGGCAGGCCUAACACAUGCAAGUCGAGCGCCCGUAGCAAUACGGGAGCGGCAGACGGGAGAGUAACACGUGGGAACGUACCCUUCAGUUCGGAACAACCCAGGGAAACUUGGGCUAAUACCGAAUACGUCCGUAAGGAGAAAGAUUUAUCGCUGAAGGAUCGGCCCGCGUCUGAUUAGCUAGUUGGUGAGGUAACGGCUCACCAAGGCGACGAUCAGUAGCUGGUCUGAGAGGAUGAUCAGCCUCACUGGGACUGAGACACGGCCCAGACUCCUACGGGAGGCAGCAGUGGGAAUAUUGGACAAUGGGCGCAAGCCUGAUCCAGCCAUGCCGCGUGGAUGAUGAAGGCCCUAGGGUUGUAAAGUCCUUUCGACGGGGAAGAGUAAUGACGGUACCCGUAGAAGAAGCCCCGGCUAACUUCGUGCCAGCAGCCGC